CAAGCCACUGUCAGCCAGCGUCCCUGCGUGACCACACAGAGCAGAGCCACCCACCAGCCUGAACUGUCACAAACCACUGAUAUAAUUAAAAUUCUGGAGCGUGAGGUCUCUUUGUUACAGCAGCUAGUGUCAGCUUAACCAGCCCAGACUUGCACAUCUUGGUAUCCCCAGUGCCUCCAAUGCAGCACGGCUCUGUUAUCGACUCGAUGAUCGAAACGCAACACGUGCACCUGGGAAGCAGAGCUCCCCAGAAUGGCUCCCAGUUCUAGGAAAAACAAAAUAAAAUCUUACUCCUUAAUAUGAGGGGAAAAGGUCAUAAAGAAAUGGAAACACUGGAGUCAGCAAGUAUCUGGCCGAGCCAGCUGGAGGAUACAUACAAUCCAGACAAUAUCAGCAUAUGAGGUCGUCAUCUGCUAUUUCUUCCGCCAGCAUUAUCUCCCUUCAUUUAAGGACAGGAGUGUCUUCUGAAUGCUGGGACGUCACUCGCCUGGAUGCUUGCCUUAACAAGAUGACAGCCACAGGACCUUCUGGUUGAUGACAGCUGAUGGCACUCCUGGUUCCAGAGAACAGAUCUGGCUGUCUAGAGUCGAAGAGAAGUUGUUGCACGUCGUUCUUGGCGCCUGGAAGAUCACGGACUCCUUUGAGAAUGUGAGGAAAGAUGUGGACGCACUUCGCGUUAAAGCACACUGUGGAAAAUCACUGCAGGAAGAGGGACUGAAACGAUGGGCCAGCCCUCGCGAAGAAAACACCCAACCCAACACGCACACGACGAGCAAGACGCGUCUCAUCUCUAUGAUUCGUAUUUGUUUUUCUGACUCGGGUCAUUUAUCUGAACAUGGAGACCUUUUCGUUUCCAGCCAGAGUAUGAAAGAAGGUUUGGCUUCAUAAUCUUAAGAGCCUGAAGUUUUGGCACACCUGUAUUAGCUACCAUAUUCUCGGGUUGAAUCUUCUCCACAGCAAUAAAUCUCAGAGAAAAAAUAAAAGUAAGAUGAUGCAGUAUA